AACGUAGGGUGCAAGCGUUGUCCGGAAUUAUUGGGCGUAAAGAGCUCGUAGGCGGUUUGUUGCGUCGGCUGUGAAAUCCCCGAGGCUCAACCUCGGGUCUGCAGUCGAUACGAGCAAACUAGAGUGUUGCAGGGGAGACUGGAAUUCCUGGUGUAGCGGUGAAAUGCGCAGAUAUCAGGAGGAACACCGGCGGCGAAGGCGGGUCUCUGGGCCAUAACUGACGCUGAGGAGCGAAAGCGUGGGGAGCGAACAGG
rnacentral:rRNA from 1 species